rnacentral:rRNA from 1 species
UACGGAGGGUGCAAGCGUUAUCCGGAUUCACUGGGUUUAAAGGGUGCGUAGGCGGGCAGGUAAGUCCGUGGUGAAAUCUCAUGAGCUUAACUCAGAAACUGCCAUGGAUACUAUUUGUCUUGAAUAUUGUGGAGGUAAGCGGAAUAUGUCAUGUAGCGGUGAAAUGCUUAGAUAUGACAUAGAACACCAAUUGCGAAGGCAGCUUACUACACAGUUAUUGACGCUGAGGCACGAAAGCGUGGGGAUCAAACAGG